GACGAACGCUGGCGGCGGGCUUAACACAUGCAAGUCGAACGGAAAGGCCCUGCUUGUUUGGGGUGCUCGGGUGGCGAACGGGUGAGUAACAGGUGAAUAACCUGCCCUUGACUUUGGGGUAACUUCAGGAAACUGGGCCUAAUACCGGAUAGGAGCUCCUGCUCCAUGGUGGGGAUGGGAAAUUUUCGGCUGUUGGGGAUGGACUCGCGGUUGAUCAGUUUGUUGGUUGGGGAGUGGCUUACCCAGGCUUUGACGGGUAGCCGGCAUGAGAGGGGGACCGGCGACAAGGGGCCUGAGGUACGGAGCAGAGUCCUACGGGAGACAGCAGUGGGGAGUAUUGCCCAAUGGGAGGAAGCGUGAUGCAGAAACGCUGCGUGCGGGAUGACGGCUUUUGGGUUGUAAAAAGCAUCAGCCUGUGACGAAGCGGGAGUGACGGUAAUGGGUAAAGAAGCACCGGCUAACUACGUG
rnacentral:rRNA from 1 species